AGGGGCGCGCGCGGCGUGCUACGCGAGGCUUUGAACCUCGCCAGGAGAGUUCGAGCCUCUCCGCCCCUU
rnacentral:tRNA from 1 species